rnacentral:rRNA from 1 species
GACGAACGCUGGCGGCGUGCUUAACACAUGCAAGUCGAACGGAAAGGCCCUGCUUUUGUGGGGUGCUCGUGUGGCGAACGGGUGAGUAACACGUGAGUAUCCUGCCCCUGACUUUGGGAUAACAUCAGGAAACUGGGGCUAUUACCGGAGAGGAGCUCCUGCUGCAUGGGGUGGGUUGGAAAGUUUCGGCGGUUGGGGAUGGACUCGCGGCUUAUCAGCUUGUUGGUGGGGUAGUGGCUUACCAAGGCUUUGACGGGUAGCCGGCCUGAGAGGGUGACCGGCCACAUUGGGACUGAGAUACGGCCCAGACUCCUACGGGAGGCAGCAGUGGGGAAUAUUGCACAAUGGGCGGAAGCCUGAUGCAGCAGCGCCGCGUGCGGGAUGACGGCCUUCGGGUUGUAAACCGCUUUCGCCUGUGACGAAGCGUGAGUGACGGUAAUGGGUAAAGAAGCACCGGCUAACUACGUG